CAGUCUUACCUGGUAUCGUUCCUGGAGCAAGGAAGCCCGGCCACAGAGCACUGAGACCAGCAGACCCGAGGACUGGGAGGAGGGAACCGAGGUCACCUACGCGCGCCUGGAAUUAACAUCCCAGAAGAAAGCACGAAGAAAGAGGCAAGCGUAGCCAGAGAGACCAAAGAUCGUCAGCGGGCUGAAGUGAGAGCCAAGCUCGCUGGUCUUUGUUUUAAUAACAAAAAGCAAACCGAUACUUUUUUUUUUAAUUAUUCUUUUUAACUUUUGAAUAUAUAGGCCCUAAACACAAUGGGCCCGUUUCACUUUUUCUGUUUUUAACUCUCAACUGAUAGAAAACAAACUGGCUAUACAUUGAAUGACAAAUGACGUGAAAGGCAUUUAAAAACGCGCUCCACUUGUGCCUGACAGACCGGCAGAGAGACGGGUCAGGUGGGAGUCAGAGCUGCAGCGGCGCAUUGGGCUGUUCAACGGGCAGGGAGCAAGCAAGCAAGCAAGCAAGCGGAGCAGCAACACCGCGCCAGCGGAGCUAGAGAGGCGAGAGGCCGGGGGUGAGCUGGCUGCACCCCCCGAAGGCGGCCCUCUGCACCCUCUAUUUAGCUGCGUUUUAAAUACAAGUGUUUUUGUAGUAUUUUAAUAUUAACAAUAAAGACCGAAUAACUGGA